rnacentral:rRNA from 1 species
GACGAACGCUGGCGGCGUGCUUAACACAUGCAAGUCGAGCGGAAAGGCCCUGCUUUUGUGGGGUGCUCGAGUGGCGAAAGGGUGAGUAAAACGUGAGUAACCUGCGCUUGACUUUGGGAUAACAUCAGGAAACUGGGGCUAAUACCGGAGAGGAGCUCCUGCUGCAUGGUGGGGGCUGGAAAAUUUCGGAGGUUGGGGAUGGACUCGCGGCCUAUCAGCUUGUUGGUGGGGUAGUGACUUACCAAGGCUUUGCCGGGUAGCCGGCCUGAGACGUUAACCUGCCACAUGAGUCCUGGGAGACGGCCCAGACUCCUACGGUAGGCAGCAGUGGGGAAUAUUACACAAUGGGCGUAAGCCUGAUGCAGCAACGCCGCGUUCGGGAUGACGUCCUUCUGGUUGUAAACCGCUUUCGCCUGUGACGUGGCGUGAGUGACGGUAAUGAGUAAGGAAGCACCGGCUAACUACGUG